UACUGAGUUUGGACAUGUGGAUGCCCUGU
rnacentral:piRNA from 1 species